rnacentral:rRNA from 1 species
AGAGUUUGAUCCUGGCUCAGAUUGAACGCUGUCGGCAUGCCUUACACAUGCAAGUCGAACGGCAGCACGGGAGCUUGCUCCUGGUGGCGAGUGGCGAACGGGUGAGUAAUAUAUCGGAACGUACCCUAGAGUGGGGGAUAACGCAGCGAAAGUUGCGCUAAUACCGCAUACGAUCUACGGAUGAAAGUGGGGGAUCGCAAGACCUCAUGCUCAUGGAGCGGCCGAUAUCUGAUUAGCUAGUUGGUGGGGUAAAGGCCUACCAAGGCAUCGAUCAGUAGCUGGUCUGAGAGGACGACCAGCCACACUGGAACUGAGACACGGUCCAGACUCCUACGGGAGGCAGCAGUGGGGAAUUUUGGACAAUGGGGGCAACCCUGAUCCAGCAAUGCCGCGUGAGUGAAGAAGGCCUUCGGGUUGUAAAGCUCUUUUGUCAGGGAAGAAACGGUGAGGGCUAAUAUCCUUUGCUAAUGACGGUACCUGAAGAAUAAGCACCGGCUAACUACGUGCCAGCAGCCGCGGUAAUACGUAGGGUGCAAGCGUUAAUCGGAAUUACUGGGCGUAAAGCGUGCGCAGGCGGUUAUGUAAGUCAGAUGUGAAAUCCCCGGGCUCAACCUGGGAAUGGCAUUUGAGACUGCAUGGCUAGAGUGUGUCAGAGGGGGGUAGAAUUCCACGUGUAGCAGUGAAAUGCGUAGAGAUGUGGAGGAAUACCGAUGGCGAAGGCAGCCCCCUGGGAUAACACUGACGCUCAUGCACGAAAGCGUGGGGAGCAAACGGGAUUAGAUACCCUGGUAGUCCACGCCCU